rnacentral:rRNA from 1 species
AUGAACGCUGGCGGCGUGCCUAAUCCCUGCAAGUCGAGCGAACGGACGAGAAGCUUGCUUCUCUGAUGUUAGCGGCGGACGGGUGAGUAACACGUGGAUAACCUACCUAUAAGACUGGGAUAACUUCGGGAAACCGGAGCUAAUACCGGAUGAUAUUUUGAACCGCAUGGUUCAAAAGUGAAAGACGGUCUUGCUGUCACUUAUAGAUGGAUCCGCGCUGCAUUAGCUAGUUGGUAGGUAACGGCUUACCAAGGCAACGAUGCAUAGCCGACCUGAGAGGGUGAUCGGCCACACUGGAACUGAGACACGGUCCAGACUCCUACGGGAGGCAGCAGUAGGGAAUCUUCCGCAAUGGGCGAAAGCCUGACGGAGCAACGCCGCGUGAGUGAUGAAGGUCUUCGGAUCGUAAAACUCUGUUAUUAGGGAAGAACAUAUGUGUAAGUAACUGUGCACAUCUUGACGGUACCUAAUCAGAAAGCCACGGCUAACUACGUG